UACGUAGGGUGCGAGCGUUAAUCGGAAUUACUGGGCGUAAAGCGUGCGCAGGCGGUUUUGUAAGCCAGAUGUGAAAUCCCCGGGCUUAACCUGGGAAUGGCAUUUGGGACUGCAAGGCUUGAGUGCGGCAGAGGAGACUGGAAUUCCUGGUGUAGCAGUGAAAUGCGUAGAUAUCAGGAGGAACACCGAUGGCGAAGGCAGGUCUCUGGGCUGACACUGACGCUCAUGCACGAAAGCGUGGGGAGCAACAGG
rnacentral:rRNA from 1 species